ensembl:lncRNA
UGCAUCUCAGCUUCUUGUGCAGCAGGCUCUUAAACAAUGUCUCUGCGUUGGGCUCUCAGAUUAGUUUGGCUUAUUUGCGCAGUAUCACCUGUUUAUGUAGUAAGCGAUGCUUAUGAUUGUGCCAGAGCACACUUUGAACAACACCCUGGGAAUUUCAGAUUUCGCACAGGUGGUUGGUUGUUACACAGUGGAAAUGGAAUGAAGGGUUUUCACGUCAAGAAAUGCAGGAUUUGGAGGGGAAAAUGGACGGCUGUAGUGAAAAAGCCGAUGGCAGCAAUCAAAACGCUUUGAUGACUGUAUACAAAAAUGUGCUGGCUUGCUGCGGUGAGGAGGCCUACAAUCCAGUCAAUGAAAUAUGCUGUGACUCAGCCAUCAGAGUGAAACCUGCUGUUAAGAGCAAGUGUUGUGGUAAAGGUAAUAGUUCCAUUACCUCAAGAAGACAGGUUGAUGACUGUGAACCAGAAAGCAAAAUCUGGACCGAUCAGCACUACUGUGGGCCUAAAGUUUUCAGACCUGAAAAAGAGAUCUGCUGCAGUGGACACAGAUAUAACAAAGCAGGAAAUGAUCACUGCUGUGGGGUGAAAGCCUACAACAUUACAGACCCAAAGAUGAAGUGCUGUGCAGGAACACUGCACCGUCUCACAGCUGCAACUGCAAAUGGCGAGUGCUGUGGAUCCAUUCUGUACACAGAGGGUGUUUGCUGCCUGAGUGAGGAUAAAGAGGUGUUCUACUCUGCAAAGGCAGAUUUCAGAUGUUGUGGACAUCUCUACUACAACACCUCUCUGUGGUCAUGCUGUGCAGGGAAACUGAGACCUCGGAAAUCAGGGGUGUUCCACAACUCCACAAUUUUGUCCUUGAACAAACUAAAUCAAGCAGAACUUUGCAACCCAAUAAAAAUUGGGACUGUGGAAAGUGUAUCUCAGCACAGCAUCGUGUUCAGCAGUUUGCUGGAAAUCAAUGGGCAAAUUGCUUCUUUGAAACCUCUGGACUGGCAUUAUUCCUGGAACAAACCUUAUUUACCUGAACUAACUCCUGGGAAGACUUAUUUCUUCAACGAUAAUAAUGUCUUCAUUGAUUUCAAUCAUGACUCUCUUCUUCAGUCGAUCCGUUUCAUUAUUUCCAAAUGUUCGUCUGGUUAAUCUGGUUAAUCUGCUCCAGUGUGCAAUAUGAAAUUAGUUCUCAGAGAGUGACAAAAGCUUCAGUAGUAAAAUAUGUACUUUGUGCAGUCAAAGUCAUGCAAUAAGAUGGUGCACUAAAUAGUGUGUUGUCUGCGUUCUCAUAGUGAGUUCUCAUAAAAGCUCUUUACAGUUUUGUUCUUCAGAUUUUUUUCUUUUCAAAUUUGUAUUAUGUAACAAAAAACGUAAAAACUGCAGUUGUUUGGGCGGAUGCGAUUUUUCGCUAAUUUACUCUACUAUCAGCAAUAAAAGCUAAAUAUGCAGGUGCCCUGUGAUGUCUGCAUAUUUAUCUUUAACUGUGCUUAUAUUGUUUAUUUCUUAAUUGUUACUCAAUAGCUAAUUUUUCCCUGAGGUCUUUGUUCUGUGUUACUAUAUAUUCACAUUUAUACAAAAAUCAGUUAUCAUCAUCAUCAUAAAUGUAUUCAUGUUUUAUCCAAUGAAUAAAUUUUUAAAGAAUAUAUCAGUGGCCAUGUUUUUUUAUGAUGCAGUUUUUUUUAUUUAUGCUACAACUGGUUUUGUUGAAAAUCAUAUUUGGUGAGUAAUUCAAUAACCAUUGCUGUCAGAUGUGAAUGAAUUUAAUUUAAGCAGAAGUUAAGCUUUCAUUUUACCUGUUUAUAUUUUACCGUCUGCAUCCAGAGACAAUAACCAGAUUACUGUUUAUUAAACAGUAUUAAACAAAACAUUAUUCAAUUAGUUUUCUCUUUGGCUCUCGGAGGAGGCGGACACAUCUUCCCUGCUGCUGCUUUUAUGUCUUUGUCUAGUCUUGUCUAAGUCUAACCCUCAAACAGUCUCUCAGUCUUGUUCUCUAAAACCUAAAGAAUUAUGGAUUUGAUCAACUGGUCUCGUAACAAAAUUGUCACCUUCCUGGGCUUGGGAGAGCCCGAUUGUCCUGCAGAGAGGUUUGCUGCCGGAUACUCGAUGGUCGGUUGCGUCGACAAUAACAGAGUUCUGGCUGAUUGGAGCUGGAUUGGACCUGGCUUAUCGAAGAACAAAAAGCGCCUACAGCUGUUCAAAAUCCCACAAGGCUGGCCGACAUGAUAGACAAUGGGCAGGGCUGUGAGUAAGACUGUGUUAUUGAACGCAAUAUGGAUAAGAUCUUGGAGAAGCUCAUGGCUCUGCAAUAUGGAUAACAUCUUGGAAAAGAAGAACGGGAAUUGAGAGAAUUGAGAGAAUUGGUGACCAGUGAUGGACAUUAGACCAACUGUAAAAAUUGGAUGCAGUUAUUCGCACUAAACCCAAACAUUCACCAUCUUCACUCAUGCAGCUAUCCCACUGGUGCCAGCUGAAGGCCUGCCGAGGUCGAGGCUGACUGGAACAACAAAAAUUCUUCCAUGAUAACAGGACUGUUGUCAGAACACUGUCUCUCCUUCAAGGUCACCUGGGUCCACUGGAAACUGUUGACCUUAGCUUAACCGGGCGUGGUGACACUUUCUUUCAGCUGAACACGGGUGUUGGAGUCAAAUUGUUAAAUGUUGUCAUUGUGUUACUUAAAUUUGUAAGUCUUAGUUCAAGCAGCAUGAUCAAAGACAUUCCUUUGUCUCUGACCACCUCUCCAGCCAGUUUGUUGGUGGGGGAGGCUGUAGUGUUUUAUUAUAGGGACAUCCUAUCUGAAGGUACUGUUUUCUUGUAGUAAUUGUUUUGCUCAGAAGGAUGAAGCUCGGGGCCAGUGCCAGCUGCUGGCCUGGGAAAGGAUAGUGGGAGUCUUCCUGUUCAGCAACAGCCCGGGUUGGACAAAAGACUGUAGUAACUGAAAAGAUACACAGAGUUUGUGUGAUGUUAUAGAAGGGGCGCUGCGAUGCUAGAACGCUCAUUACUAUGAACCUGUUAUGUUUUGAUGUGUGUUCUCCUGCGCAGUAAUAAAUAGUUUGAUCACAGCUCUUUCAGUGUUGCAGACUUUAUUUACAAAAUUCCACGACAGUGGGAACACAUUAUUGUAUUGUGCAGUUUUUUUGUUUUUGUUUUUUUUUUAAAGAUGAGAGAAAA